ensembl:lncRNA
AUGAGCACACAAAGGAAUCCGAAACUCGGACGGACGGACCGGGGGGGAGGGAGGAGGAGUGCUUUCAUUCAGGCCAGCUUUCCCGGCCCUUCUUUCGCCAGACAGCGGCGUCUCCUCCCGCCUAGACACUCCCUGCUAACCCCCGCCGGCGUCCCCCGUCUCCUCGCUUGCCACGUCCCACAUCUUCGACUACAGCCGGGGCUCGCAAACCGGGCCCGCCGGCGGGAGGAGCGGCAGUUUCUUCGCGCUGGAGUCGAAGGGAAACGGAGGCACGGGAGGAGAACGGCCAGCCGAACGACCAUUGAAGUUUAAUAACGCACGACGGCGGGAAGGGAGAGGAGAACCGGGUCGGGCUCGUCUGCCUGCCCUCCCGCGCUUGGGAACGGCUGGCGCGGAGACUCAGCGAACAAAGAGGCAAACAGGGAGGGAGGGAGGGAGGAAGAGAGAGAGACUGAGAGAGAUUAGCGCAGGGCUGGCAAGACCAGGAAAGAGGCCGCUACUCACAGGAAUAUGGUUACUCAUUGAAGACUGUAGCCUGAUCAUACAGCCUCGGUGCUGAGGGCGCCACCGCCGGGGGCAGGAGGAGCUAAGCCGGAGGGAACUGGAGAAGGAGGCGGCGGCGGAGGUGGUGCCGGAGCAGGGCGGCGGCGAUGGACCAUACAGGGCGCGGAGCAGCCGGGGAGAGAGAGAGAGAGAGAGAGAGAGCGAGACGGGGAUGCCAGGAGAAGGCGAAAGAGGAGGAGCUCCGGCCGCUGGCGACGAAACUGUUGCUAACGCGGCACUGACGGCAGAAAGAAAAAGCGACUGGAGGAGGGAGGGGGCCAGAGGCGGAGGGAGGGCGCUUCCGUUCGUUCGCGCAAGGCAAGUAGGGGGACGGGGGCGGGCAGAGAUGUCUUAAGCACCGCCUUGCACUCUCCAGCUUGCAAUCGUGCGACGUCCCGCCCCGCUUAGCUGACGCCUUCAAAGCUCGGCCGCCUGGCGUCACAAACGUCUCUCGCCGAAUGGCACAGCUCCCGGCCAAUCGGAGGGCUCGGGCGAGUUGAGCCGAUAUGGCCAGCCGUGUGGCAGUGGGCUAGGAGCUGAGGAGGAGGAGGACGGGAAGAGGGCCAAGGAGAAUGCUAGAGAGACGCGAAGGGAGGGCGGGGCGAAGGAAAGGAGGAGAAAGCCGGUGGAAACCGGUUAGAGAAAGUCGGCUAGCUAGCCGUGGCCGGCCAAGCUCGCAGACAGACGGGGUGGGUGGGACAAGGCGAAGGUUCGCUCCCAUUGGUCGGCUGCUGCUGCUAUUCCUUCGACUCUGGUCCUCUUGUUGCACUUCUUGAAAGGCAACUGGAAUUCUUCCGCGAAUCGCAGGAAUGUAAUUUAGUGGGUUGAUGCUUUGAGAUGGUUCCAGAAGCAGUGCUCGUGAUAGCCUUUUGCAACGCAGUGUAAUUUACAAGCCGACCUGUAAAGUAGCAUCAAGCCAGAAUAUAGAUGAGAGGUCUUUGUAUCCACCACGUCUUAAGCGUUACGUAUUUGGAGUGAGAUUCCCCUCGAACUCAAGAUUGUCAGAUGAGAUCCCUUUAGCACCGUGCGGCUAAACUCCGUGGUUUUCAUGCGGGCAACUGCUGGGUGUGGGGUCGGCUUGUUACUCACGAAUUACAACUUCGAGACAUCUAAAUCUCAGAUUUUAUUAUGGAGCAACGCAGACCCAAAUUGCUCCCUUGCAGGCUGAGGAUAAGAGUUCAUAACGGCAUGCAUCAGGCGAAUUGUUUCCUUAAAAGUUAUGCCACAAUUUGAGAAUCAAGAUGUCACAAGACGUUAAUUUUUAUGAAAGUCUAAUUGGGUGAAAGUUUCUGUUUGCAGCAUUAUGGUUCUGAAUUAUCUAUCCACUUGCCAGUUUGAACUGUGGGAGCAUUACAGCCCUAUCCCAUAAUCAGUUUCACAGCAAGCUUUGUUCAACUUAUAUGGUGCCCAUUUUAUUCUGAAAAGACUGGGUAGCUUCACAACAGAUUACAGCUUUAAAAUAAAUAAAACCCUACAAAUGUUCAGUAUUUACAAUUCAGAUUCUAGUUUAUAUAGGUGUGUUUUAGCAAUAGAAUAUUGCUGGUUGUGUUAUUCAAUUAAUUUCUAAUAUUGAAUGCGACAAAUUCACAUCUCUGCUAGCAUUGGUUUCCAGAAGUCUUAAAUUGACACUUACCAAGGAAGGAAAGCUGUUCUGUAUCUGCACAACCCUUUUAUUCUAAUAUAGUGAACGUUGUAUCCUGAGUCUACAAUAUACUUUAAUCUGUUACAACUUCUCUAGAAUUCUGUGAGGUGGGCAAUGGUAUACAUUACCUAAUUACCUAAAUAUAUAAAAAAUAACAGACUCCAGUAGAACAGGCAUUUAUUGCUGGAGAUACUAAAAUGUGAAAAUCUGUGUAAACAAUUUAGGAUUAAGAGUGUUUUCUGUGUUAGGGAUGUAUUUAGAAGAAAUAGCAUUGUGAUUAGAUUUAGAAUGAUAACUCCACAUUAAUCAUGCAGAUUGGGCAUGGAUCUAUUUGAAGCCAAAAACUUCUGGAAGAACACUCACAAUAAAUAUCUGGAUUAAAAUAAUCAUAUUGGGAUUAGGAGAAUCUAAAUUGAAAUGCACAACUGACCUUAAGGAAGAGGGCAGUUUAUAUCUCCUUGAAGGAGAUGAAACUAUUGAAGAAAUAUUGACAUUUAGGUAGGGAAAAGUGCUACAAUCACCUACCUAAUUUUAUUCAUUUUUAAAGGGUAGCAUUUCACCUUACUUGUUAUUCCUCCACAUGACACCAGAUUUUAAUAAUCAUAGCUCUGAA